ACAAUUUUUGGACCAGGCGUUGGAGACGAGCAUUUUCAAUCUUAUCUAAAGUAUAUUCGUUGAGAAAUGGGAGAAGAGGACGAUGAUCGACGAUAAUCUCGAAUUUUGGGAGUCCCAACAGGUCCCGCAAGGGUUCCGCGAAUCGGGCGAUGUUGGGGGUGAACAUACCAAGCUGGUUAGCUGAUCCCAUGAACACCAUUGUCAAAAACGUAGUCAAUCAGUAUUAAACAUACUCUUAGUCACGCUAAUUCUCAAAAUUGCCCACCCUGGGUGCUAGGGUCGGAGGGGUAAACCUCGCCCAGCCAGUGAAGCUAGCCAUCACAUCAUCCAUAUAAAGUUCCAUCCAACUGGAAAAGGAAGCUCAUGACCGUCGAGUUCAACAUGAGACACAAGAACAAGAGAUAAGACAGAAACGAGAAGCCGAAGAGGACGAAACCUGUUUCAAAGCUUUGGAAGAAGAAGCUCGUUUAGAAAUCGAAAGUCUGAAGUUGUCAGGAUUCGGGAAAGCUUCAGAUGAAAUCGACGGAAUACUUGAUGCAACUCGAAAUGGGAAUACGCCAAGAUCUCAAAAGCUUCCCGCCAACCAAGCAUCUCUGUCAUUACAAAAAGCGGACAUUAAUCGCCAAAUUGAUUUGCUGGCAGAGAUUGCUGAACGCUCUCACUCUCCGAGAAUAAUGGCACUAAUAUUGGAAAUACACAUGUACGCUCUAAGGACAAAAGUGCAGCUUCUAGCUAUUAUCAUGUUAUGAAUAAUGCCUCUGAGCAGGCGAUUCUGCCCAACGCUGUCCCUGCUCCUAAUGGGCUCUCCGGGACACUAAUGUGUUAUAUAGUUAAUCUCUUGACAUUGCAAAGGUUUAAGGUUCGAGCCCUCUUGGAUUCAGGUGCAAAUGUUUGCUUGGUUUCUUCAGAUACAGCGAAGAGAGUCCAACUGCAGGGAGCUCCAACGAUUCUAAUCAUGAAUGUCGCAGGGAAUAACACGCUAAAAUCAAAACAAACGCUUGCUGAGUUCGGUUUGAUGAGCAUUGAUCGAUCGUACGUUUCCACCCCUAAAAGACAACAACCAUUGAGUCAAUUGGGAAACUUUUCAGCCGAUUACUACAAAAGUAAACGAAUUGGAUCAUUGGAAAGACCUGGAAUUUACUGAAAGCUAUCCGGUCUGGACCAGUCGUCCGAUAAACAUUUUGUUGGCAGAACCCUAUUAUUCUCAAUUGAUGAUGCCAGACCAACGCAUUUCUCCCGAGCUUUCUUUGCCAUCGGCAAAACUUACAAAACUGGGUUGGAUGCUCCAUGGUGCCAUACCCACAGAACCUACA